GCAUUGGUGGUUCAAUGAUAGAAUUCUUGCCUUCCAUGCAAGAGGCCUGGGUUCAAUUCCCAGUCAGUGCA